rnacentral:rRNA from 1 species
UACGAAGGGGGGCUAGCGUUGCUCGGAAUUACUGGGCGUAAAGGGCGCGUAGGCGGAUGUCUAAGUUGGGGGGUGAAAUCCCCGGGGGCUCAACCUCGGAACCGGCCUUCAAUACUGGAUAUCUUGAGUUCGGGAGAGGUGAGUGGAAUGCCGAGUGUAGAGGUGAAAUUCGUAGAUAUUCGGCGGAACACCAGUGGCGAAGGCGACUCACUGGCCCGAUACUGACGCUGAGGCGCGAAAGCGUGGGGAGCAA